UGGGGAAUAUUGCGCAAUGGGGGAAACCCUGACGCAGCGACGCCGCGUGCGGGAUGAAGGCCUUCGGGUUGUAAACCGCUUUUGAUUGGGAGCAAGCUUUCGGGUGAGUGUACCUUUCGAAUAAGCGCCGGCUAACUACGUGCCAGCAGCCGCGGUAAUACGUAGGUGGCAAGCGUUGUCCGGAUUUAUUGGGCGUAAAGCGAGCGCAGGCGGUCAAUUAAGUCUGAUGUGAAAGCCCCCGGCUCAACCGGGGAGGGUCAUUGGAAACUGGUUGACUUGAGUGCAGAAGAGGAGAGUGGAAUUCCAUGUGUAGCGGUGAAAUGCGUAGAUAUAUGGAGGAACACCAGUGGCGAAGGCGACUCUCUGGUCUGUAACUGACGCGGAGGCUCGAAAGCGUGGGUAGCAAACAGG
rnacentral:rRNA from 1 species